GACCGCCGCGGCCGCCUCAGCUACAGCCAAAACAGGGCCUCUAAGGCCGUCGGGCCCACUCUGGCCGCUGGCUGCCGGUCGCCCCCCGCCUCCCCUCUCACCUGCGGGCAACGGUCGGAGCUGCCGCCGGGCGUAAGGGUUUCAAACUACCUAGGCGGAAGAAGAAGCACCUCUCUGAUAGGCUCAGCCGGCUUCUGCAAGACACUCUCUGAUUGGGCAUCUUGGCGGAAAAAUAGCCAAUUAGAGAGCAUGGACUGAGGAGAAAGGGGGUGCAAAGCCGUCCCGCCCCUCGGCUUCUAUACGUCAGCCUUUGCCGGUUCCUGACUGUCAGCGGUGCCCCGUGUUGAUUGGCCAGCUCCGUUCCCGGGGCUGGGGCGCGGGCUGUGGGCAGCUGUUGGUGGGGGCGGUGCUGAGGGACGGGCGCUGUGAAGUGGGCAGCUGCGUGGUGCUGGUGUGGGAUUGCAGGUAUCCUUGGUGACUGUAGUCCUUGGUGUUGGCCCGGCAGCCCUGGGGCAGCUCUAUGGUAUUGCUUGGCGCCCGUUGGUGAGCGCCGUAUGUGGUGGCUCAUGGGGUCUGUUCGUGCUGAGGUUUGUUUGGGAGCAGUGCCAACCCAAAAGUUUGGGUUAGCUGUGGUGAAGGGAGCUCAGAUAGGAGGUCCCCCAGGUUGAGGAAUUGCUGCUAAAAGAAUCAUAGAAUGGCUUGGGUUGAAAGAUCGUAUAGUUAGAAACCCCUGCCAUGGACAGAGUUGCCACCCACCAGAUCAGGCUGCCCAGGACCCCAUCCAGCCUGGCCUCAAGUGCCCCUAGAGACAAGACAUCCACAACCUCUCCAGGCAGCCUAUGACAGUGCCUCACCGCUUUGAGGCAAAAAUUUCUUCCUCACAUCUAACCGAAAUCUCCCUUCUUUUAGUUUAAAGUCAUUCCCUCUUGUCCUGCCACUAUCAGAAUAUGUAAAGAGAUAGUCCCUCUCCUGCUUAUGUGUACUGGAAGGCUACAGUGAGUUCACCCUGGAGCCUUCUCCAAGCUGAACAGCCGCAGUUCUCAGUCUGUCUUUGUAGGGGAGGUUUUCCAUCCCUUUGGCUCAUCUUUGUGGUUCUCUGGACCCGUUCCAAGAGCUUGGCAUCUUUUGUGCGCUGGGACCCCCAGGCCUGGAUGCAGUACUCCAGAUGGGGCCUCACGAGGGCAGAGCGGAGGGGGGAGGGGGGGGACAAUUACCUCCCUCUCCCUGCUGGCCACCCCUCUUUUGACGUAGCGCAGGGUACAGCUGGCCUUCUGUGCUGUAAGAGCACACUGCUGGCUCCUGUCAAGCUCAAGUGUCAAAUUUGUUUAUGGUAGAUAGGUGUCUGAUUGUUAGUGUCAGUACAUCCCCAUUCUGAGGAGCAUUCCUGCAUCAGUGGUUUGAACAAUAGCUGUUGCAUAUAUCCCUGGGGAGGAUUUUGUUGCAGUUACCUCUGGGCAGUAAUAAGUAGAAAUUCAACACCAAAUUUUACAGGCUUUUUUAUCGGGCACCAGGAAUCAGAGAGCCCUUCUGUUUGCUUGCCUCCAUUUAUCCUGACACCAUCUUAAUUGCUCCUUUUGUAAUGUGUGCUGUGACACAGAAAAUCCCUUCACAAUAAUCUACAGCAUACAUCUGCACCAUCUGGUACUCCAGGGCCACAGACCUCCUGGUCAAGUUCUAUAAUAUGUGAGUGUACUUUAUAUUACACCAAAAUUUUGCCUGGUAACACAAGAAAGACAGCACAGAUAUAUCCAAACAGUACACAACUGUAAUUUAUAAUUUCCCCUUUCUAACUUUUUUAGAAAGCAAUACACAUAUGUUCUAGAAUCUUUUGCACCUGUGAAACAGUUAACUCAGGAAACUAUCAGAAAUGUCACCUCUCUUGGAGGCAUUAAGUUCUUCCAAAGAAAGCCUUUUAUGUAAUAAAAGGACUCCUUUAACCUCAUUUUCCAAAACCUUUUGACUACUGCAGCAUCCUCUUAAUUGACAAUUUCACCUGAAGCUAAGCUUCACAGAGUUGAAGUGGGUAAUGUGGGGUACUUGUGCUUUUGCAGACCACUCUUAGGUUUAAGCCAUACAGAACCUGACCAAAAGCAAGAUUUCAGUUCCUCUUUCUACUUUCCGUACUGAAGUGGACGACAGUGUCUAAUUUAAGCAAUGAUGGGAAAGUCUUCCAGAACCUUCUUUCAGCUCAUUAAAAAAUACUAAAGCUUUUACUUUCAAGGAAGCCUGAAAGGAAUUGUGUUAACUAACUAACAGCUACACCAGUAUCCUUUCCUCGCUGUGUAAGAUACAUUAAUGCUAAAAUAUGUACUUUUUAGGUCACCUUUGAAAAACAUAACAAAGCCAAUCUAGUAUCUAGAUAGAUGAAUAGUUUUAAAAUGUACUGACGAUGAUUUACUACAACUAGUAGGUGGGUAGAGAUAUGAUUUUUUUUAACAGACUUUUUUCAGAGAUUUCCUGAUGAGUCUUUUAUCAUGAUAUCAGCUGUGUAUAUUUUUCACUUUUUUAUAUUUUGUCUAUUUUUAUAUAUAUUACAGUGUUCCCAGUUCUUUGUGGUGUGUUCAUGUAUUUCUUUGAUCCCCAAACCCCAAGCUUAGCACUAAUCACCACCAAGCGUCUGACAUCUGUAGACAUGAGCAUAAAACAUUUACUUACCUCAGCCAUUCCUCUCAUACAACAACAUUCUUCAUUCCUAUUUUUCUGAGAGUUUGUCUUUAAUCCCAAUCCCAAUCCCAAUUUCAGUCUGCAGCAAGUGACAAAUCAGAAUUAACAGAAAGCAUUGUCCUUUAUGAGUCUCUGUACUAGCUAUCUACACAGUGAACAUCCGUUAUCUGAGGUAUUCAGUCUUUCUUUUCUAAAGACUUAAUGAGAGGUGCUUAUUUCAUUAAUAUUAGAUGCAUUAGCAGUAAGCACUUGCUAAUAUAAAACUUUCCUUUAGCCUAGAAGUUCAAGUAGCAAGGCAAAUUUCCCAUUUAUUUUUUUCUAAAUUUCUAAGUUUAUAGGUAGGAGUGAUCAAUGUAUGAUUGGAUUUGCUGCAUAUGGGCUUUAUUGAAUUCAGUGGGGUCUAUGGGAAGGAGACAGAAGGUGGUAUCUGUAGAAAUGAUACCAGUUUCUGUUUAAGAACAGUUUGUAGAAAUAUUUGAAGUUGGGAAUUGGAAGAAGCAUCAUCAGGGGGCUAUUUGUAACUAUAAUAUCUGGUAAGAUUUACAUGGCUGUGAUAAGCAAAAACUUCAGAUAGUCUGAGUGACUCCUCAUUAUUGUGCAGUCAGUAUAUUUUGUUAAGGCUCAUGAAGUUGCUCGUUUAGGUUAGUUUCCAGAAAAGCAGAGUGAAAGACUCUGUUUGCUGGUGGACUGUUGUAAGCAAGCGGGAUAUAAGGUUUCAGAGAAACAUCUUUGUCUGUCUGUCUGUCAGUCUGAAUGUUGAUUUAUUUGCUUGUUUAUCUUCCCAGCACUGUUACUUUGUUUGAAUGCUAACUUGAAGCCGACACUCAGCUGUAAUCGUGUCUAGGUGAGCAAUGCCUGCACCAAAGCAAAGUGUAAUCAAUUUUCCCUUGCCACAGCUGGCUUUAAUGCAAAGUUCCAGCUGACAUGGGAUUUUCUAAUAAUCCAAAAUAUUCAUCCUCUUAAUUUAGUUGCUUGUUUGAUAAUUGAAAUAAAGUCAAAUGUAGAACUGUUGCAUUGUUUUGAAAUGACUGUGAUUGUUUAAUGUUUCAGCAAGGCUUGUAUUUGUCCAGUAUGUGCUAGUAGAAUGGAGCACAAUUUCACUGUUUCUGACCCCACAGUGCAAUACUGUUAUACAAAACAGAGAUGAUAUAUGCUUUUUCAUACUGUUGAUUCUAAUUUAUACUGCACACUGCUGCUGUAAAAAGUACGAAGUGUAUUCCUGCAUAAAGUGUUCUUGAAAUAAAACGUAAGACAUAGCCUUCAAA